rnacentral:lncRNA from 1 species
AGUGGAGAAGAGACUAUUAUAUAACUGUAACAGAAGCAAUUCUAAAGGUUGAUUUGUUAGUUCAAUGCAGCAAACGUAAUAUGAAAACUGGAGGUAGUAUUCGUAUAAAUGGGACCUGCCCUUCACGAAUUUUAGUAAAAAUAACUACAGAUGGUCAAAUUCAAGCCAAAUUUUUCGAAACAUGUGGGCCAUACAGAUGAGUUGAGAACAAAGCAAUUGUCGAAGGUGGAACAAAGUAUUAUUGUGGGACAAUUAUCAGCAGGGGUAUCAAAUGACAGAAUAAUUCAAGAUGCGAGAAAAAAACAUUCAAAAUAAUAAAGUUGAGAGGAUAAAUUUAGUAACAAGAGGAGAUUUGGCAUAUUUGAUUCGCAAGUACAACAUUGAUAAGAAGAGAGAUAAUGAUGAUAUGACAGCUACAGCCCUAAAAAUUGAAAAAUGGAAUAAACAAGGAAAUAACCAUGUAUUUUUAUUUAAGAAAAUUGGUGAAAAUUAUCCAGGUUUAAAAGAUGAAGAUUUUGCAGUGGGGUAUAUGAAUGCUGUUAUGGAAAAAAAGCUGCUGGAUUUUAGUCGCAUCAUAUGUAUUGACGGCACCCAUGGAACAAACAGGAAAAAUUUUAAUUUAACUGUUAUUUGAAUUAAGGAUGAAAAUAAUUUAGGAUUUCCAGUGGCGUUUUUGCUUCCCAACAGGUUGGAUCAGAUAAUUCAAGAAGUUUUUUUAGGGCUCUUUUAACAAACUUAGGUAAACCAAUUGAUGCAGAAUAUAUUAUGAGCGACAAUGACCCGAAAUAUUAUGGGGGUGAUGGUUAUAUAAUUAUUAGUAAAUGGUUGUUACGUUAGGUUGUAAUAUAGUAAAUUUAAAAAUAACAUUAAUCAGUGUAGACACAGCAAAAAGAGGAAAAUCCAGGGGAGAAAAUUUAUGUUUUGUGUUUCACCUUCACCAUUUUUAAUAAGUUUAAUAUAAUUUUGUUUUUAUGUAUAUAUUAAGUUUUUAUUUUUAGAAUGGGUAGUGGUUAUAUAAUUAUUAGUAAAUAGUUGUGGUUAUUAUUAUUAAAAAGUUGUUUUGAAAGGUUCAUGGCUCAGAAUAUAGUAUAUUUAAAAAUAACAUUAAUCAGUGUAGACACAGCAAAAAGAGGAACAUUCAGAGGCAAACAUUAUCCAGGGGAGAAAAUAUAUGUUUUGUGUUUCACCUUCACCAUUUUUAAUAAGUUUUAUAUAAUUAUGUUAUAUAAUUAUUAGUAAAUGGUUGUGGUUAUUAUUAUUAAAAAAAUGUUUUGAGAGGUUCAUGGCUCAGAAUAUAGUAAAUUUAAAAAUAACAUUAAUCAGUGUAAACGCUGCAUAGAGAGGAACAAUCAGAAGCAAACAUAUUAUUCAGAGAAGAAAAUAUAUGUAUUAUUUUUCACUAUUACGAGUAACUAUUAUUAUACUCUUUAAAAUAUUAUUUGUUAUAUCUCUGUACUUAUUAUAUUUUGGGCUGACAAGGUUUGGUUUAUAAAUAUAUGUUUGAAAUAAUUUAGUUGUAUAAAUAUCACUGUAGUUUGUAUUCAUGCCUUUAUUACUAACAGAAAUAAAUUUUAUUAACAAAUU